rnacentral:lncRNA from 1 species
GUCAAACUUUAGCAAAAGUGAUGGCUGGUAACAAAAGAAAGACGCUUUCCAUAAAGGAGAAACUUAAAGUUAUCGCUGAAAGUAAAACUAUAUCAAAACGUCAAUUGUGUCCCAAAUAAGGGUGCUCUUCAUGUACAUUAAACAAAAUUUUAAGAAACGCAAGCUAAAUUGAAAAUUGAAACAAGGUAAAGAAGCCCAGGUGGAGCAGGCGUUAAUGAUAUGGUUUAUUCAACUGAGAUCCCCAGAGCAGUAAUCUUUUCAAACUUAAUGCUGGAAAAAGCCAAGCAGCUUGCAGUGAAGCCAAAAAAAGAUUUUAUGCCAACGCAAGGAUGGCUCUGGCGAUUACAGAAGCGCAAUGGCAUUCAGCUAAAAAAUAUUCACGGAGAAGAACGCUCCACUGAUAAGGAAAAUGCGGAAAUAUUUCUGAGCACAAUUCUUUCACAUAUUAUAGCGAACUAUGAUCAGGCGAAUAUUUUCAAUGAAGACGAAAGUGCCUUGUUCUUUAAAGUAUUGCCGCAAAAAACGCUUACACAUAAGGGACAAACAGUGAAAGGGUUCAAUACCUCAAAGGACCGGCUGACGCUCCUUUUCAUUUGCAAUGCCACAGGAGAUUUUAGGGAAGUCAUGGAAAGUCAAAGAGUCCGUGAUGCUUUAAAAAUAAAGUUUUGCCCUUAAAGUAUUACUCUAACAAGAAAGCGUGGAUGACGCAGGGGGUUUGGGGUGAAGUUUUAAAAAAGUUGGAUUCACAAAUGAGAGAACAGAAUCGAAAAAUCGUUCUGCUGGUUGACAAUGUGGCUUGUCAUAAGAUUUCUGAUGACAAACAUUAAUCUUCAGUUUUAGCCGCCAAAUACAACUGCAAUAACUCAGCCUCUAGAUCAAGGAAUUAUCCACUGUUUUAAGGCAUACUAUAGGCAAAGUAUUAUUCGGAAACAGGUUACUGCAAUUGAACGCGGACAAACAGUGGCUGAAUUUGAAAAAUCACUCAAUAUAUUUCAAGUGAUUCAUAUGAUUAAACAUAGCUUUUCGAUGGUGAAACCUAUAUCAAUUCCAAACUGUUUCAAAAAGGUAAAAUUUAUAACCACACCCACUGAUCAGCAAUUUGAAGAUACAAGUGCUAAAGUAGAAACAAUCGUUGGGAGCCUGGCAGAUGCAAAUACACAAAGCUCAUUUGAAACAUAUAUUGUAUGUGAUGACGAUAUUGGGUGCUAUGACAAUUGGACUGAUGAGGAAAUUGUUAGUUCCAUUGUUGAUGAAGAAGCAGAUCCACUGCAAAUUGAUAACGACAGGUCUGAAGAUGAAGAGGAGACUGAGGAAGUGCUAAAAACACCGUCACUUGCAGAAGUUCUGUAUUGCAUUCGCAGCCUCAGAGCCCACCUCCUGACAAAAAAUAAAUAUAUUGCUGAAUUAAAAAGCAUGGAAGGAGACAUUCUCCAUAAUGAGAUGUCUUUCCAAUCAAAAAUAACAAUUUUUUUUUAAAUGUAAUUUUUUAAGACUUAGUUUAAAAAAAAAAAUGUAAUAAUUUAAGACUUCGUUCUGUGCAAAAUUUUUUCAAGCAUGGGCGACGAAGAUCUCAUUUGUUCCUUACAGUUUUAUGUUUUGUUUUUUAUAUGAAUAUUACUUU